rfam:Myotis davidii contig72269, whole genome shotgun sequence.
GAGACACCCUUAUGGGGCAGCACUUGCUUCAGUGGGGCUUUUGCACUCACUGAGUCUGCCCCCUGAGUGUGUCUCU